rnacentral:rRNA from 1 species
CCUACGGGUGGCAGCAGUGAGGAAUAUUGGUCAAUGGGCGGGAGCCUGAACCAGCCAAGUAGCGUGAAGGAUGACUGCCCUAUGGAUUGUAAACUUCUUUUAUAGGGGAAUAAAGGGGAGCACGUGUGCGUGUAUGAGUGUACCUUAUGAAUAAGCAUCGGCUAACUCCGUGCCAGCAGCCGCGGUAAUACGGAGGAUCCGAGCGUUAUCCGGAUUUAUUGGGUUUAAAGGGAGCGUAGGCGGGUCGUUAAGUCAGUGGUGAAAGUUUGCGGCUCAACCGUCAAAUUGCAGUUGAUACUGGCAGUCUUGAGUACAGUAGAGGUAGGCGGAAUUCGUGGUGUAGCGGUGAAAUGCUUAGAUAUCACGAAGAACUCCGAUUGCGAAGGCAGCAUACUGG